rnacentral:lncRNA from 1 species
UCCUCCGUUUAGAUUCUGCGGUAGUCUAAGAGGUUAAACUCAAACGGGUCGAGCUCUAAUACAGUCGCAAAAUACAGCUAAGUCUCAUAAGAUUUUAACAAGCCACCUAAACUGGGAGUCAACUGCAUAAAAUAUCACUGCAAAUAAUCGUGCCUUGGCCCAGACCUAAACCCAGUGGGUCUCAGAUUAAAAUGUAACAAUUGUUGCAAGAUGUGGGAUACUGACAAUCAGCAGCCUCAAUUCUGAUACAAUUGAUAUCCGCCGGGACAGAAAGCGCGAAGAGAUCGAGAAGCGUGAAGAGACUACGCAACGAUACAAUAGGGACGCCGUCUAGAUAUGUCGAGUGAGGUUUACGUAAGUGCAGAUAUCGUUAACGAAGCAGAACUCUCCACCCAGAAGCACUUGCUAACUGAUGUGUUGUUUAUUCCCCAACGGUACUUUCGUAACACAUGAUCAGGAUCUGAUCUAUGUGAGAUCAGAUUAUCGCAAUCGAACCUCUUUGUGCAGUGAGGAUCGCUGAUGCGCGCUUGCUUAAAGAGCACUGCUCAGACGUUCUUUUGCCUCCCUAAGAAGCAUCUAGCUUUCAUGUCUGAUCGCGAAAAGCCUGAUUCUAGAAGUUGUCAGCGCGCCAAUACGUGCUGCUUCCAAUGGCAGCUGGACUCAUACGGUUCGCUGUUAGUAGGGAAAUACGCCCGGGAACGCACUGAUCAAUAUAGAUCAUCCACAGUAUUACAAUCAAUCUUAUGCAUUGAAGGACAAAAUAUUUUCAUAAAAUUCUACGAAUUUAUUGUUUAUGCUUAACUAGGCGAUAAAACUUUCACCCAUCCUCUGUGGAAUGGAAUAUUCUAUAGACAUACAAAACCCAGCUGCGAAUAAACUGGGCCAGGAUGUGAAAAAGGAUGGU